rnacentral:misc_RNA from 1 species
AACUUUCGACAACGGAUCUCUUGGCUCUCGCAUCGAUGAAGAACGCAGCGAAAUGCGAUACGUAAUGCGAAUUGCAGAAUUCAGUGAAUCAUCGAAUCUUUGAACGCACCUUGCGCCCCUUGGUAUUCCGAGGGGCACACCCGUUUGAGUGUCGUGAAAAUCUCAACCUUCUCGGUUUCUUUUGGACACCGAAGGAGGCUUGGACUUUGGAGGCCUUUGCUGGCUUCUUUCGCCAGUUCUUCUCAAAUGAAUUAGUGGAGUCCUCUUUGCCGAUCCCCGACGUGCUAUAAGAUGUUUCAAUGUCUUGGUUUAUGGCUCUUUUGCUUUUGGGACCCGCUUCUAACCGUCUCAACGAGACAACGUUCGAGCGUGUCGAAAACUCUUGAACCCACGAACCCUUGACCUCAAAUCGGGUGAGACUACCCGCUGAACUUAAGCAUAUCAAUAAGCGGAGGCU